GACAGUGACGCAGUUCGCCCAAGUUCGCCCGCCGGUGCUGGGGCCUGGGGCGCCGCCUGUUUCGCGUUCGCGUCCGCGAUUGCACAUUUCAAGCUCAAAGUUGAACGCUCUACAACAAAAGAUUGUCUCUGUACCGCCGAAAGGAACUGGGCAGGUGUUCAACCAUCGUUCAACACUACUUUUCAGUAUGUGGAGUGAUUUCUGAUGUGUGUUGCUUCGGAGGAGGUGGGGCAGGGAGCGGGAGAUUCAUUAAAUCUAAAGUGAGAAAGUGUUAAAAUUCACCCAAAGACGUCAUGGAUUCUUCAAGCGACGGUCUGUUUCAGCUUUGAAACCAUCUGGACGACAUAAUUUGGGUAGAGGGCUGUCUCUGUCCCAUUCGGAGACUUUGCAGCAAGAGGAUCGGAGUGUUUUCACCUCCCGAGCAAAGCGAGCAUAAGACCUCCAUCACUCAUUUUGUAAACAAUCCGAGAAUAACACCACUCUACAAAACGAU